rnacentral:rRNA from 1 species
AGUGAACGCUGGCGGCGUGCCUAAUACAUGCAAGUCGAACGCAGUGGCGCACGGGUGAGUAAUAUAUAGUUAAUCUUCCCUACACAGAGGAACAACAGUUGGAAACGACUGCUAAUACCUCAUAUUGUCGGUUGAGACUAUAUCGUAUCAGCUAGUUGGUAAGGUAAUGGCUUACCAAGGCUAUGACGCGUAACUGGUCUGCGAGGAUGAUCAGUAGAAUUUGAACGGAGACACGGUCCAAGCUCAUAGCGGAAGCGGCAGUAAGGAAAAGUGCGCAAUGGGGGAAACCCUAACGCGGCAUCGCCGCGUAGAGGAUGACACGUGUCGGGGCGUAAACUCAUUUUAUCACGCAAGCGGUACCUGAAGAAUAAGCACCGACUAACUCCGUGCCAGCCGCCGCGGUAAUUC